rnacentral:rRNA from 1 species
GAUGAACGCUGGCGGCGUGCCUAAUACAUGCAAGUCGAGCGAACGGACGAGAAGCUUGCUUCUCUGAUGUUGGCGGCGGACGGGUGAGUAACACGUGGAUAACCUACCUAUAAGACUGGGAUAACUUCGGGAAACCGGAGCUAAUACCGGAUAAUAUUUUGAACCGCAUGGUUCAAAAGUGAAAGACGGUCUUGCUGUCACUUAUAGAUGGAUCCGCGCUGCAUUAGCUAGUUGGUAAGGUAACGGCUUACCAAGGCAACGAUGCAUAGCCGACCUGAGAGGGUGAUCGGCCACACUGGAACUGAGACACGGUCCAGACUCCUACGGGAGGCAGCAGUAGGGAAUCUUCCGCAAUGGGCGAAAGCCUGACGGAGCAACGCCGCGUGAGUGAUGAAGGUCUUCGGAUCGUAAAACUCUGUUAUUAGGGAAGAACAUAUGUGUAAGUAACUGUGCACAUCUUGACGGUACCUAAUCAGAAAGCCACGGCUAACUACGUGCCAGCAGCCGCGGUAAUACGUAGGUGGCAAGCGUUAUCCGGAAUUAUUGGGCGUAUAGCGCGCGUAGGCGGUUUUUUAGUCUGAUGUGAAAGCCCACGGCUCAACCGUGGAGGGUCAUUGGAAACUGGAAAACUUGAGUGCAGAAGAGGAAAGUGGAAUUCCAUGUGUAGCGGUGAAAUGCGCAGAGAUAUGGAGGAACACCAGUGGCGAAGGCGACUUUCUGGUCUGUAACUGACGCUGAUGUGCGAAAGCGUGGGGAUCAAACAGGAUUAGAUACCCUGGUAGUCCACGCCGUAAACGAUGAGUGCUAAGUGUUAGGGGGUUUCCGCCCCUUAGUGCUGCAGCUAACGCAUUAAGCACUCCGCCUGGGGAGUACGACCGCGAGGUUGAAACUCAAAGGAAUUGACGGGGACCCGCACAAGCGGUGGAGCAUGUGGUUUAAUUCGAAGCAACGCGAAGAACCUUACCAAAUCUUGACAUCCUUUGACAACUCUAGAGAUAGAGCCUUCCCCUUCGGGGGACAAAGUGACAGGUGGUGCAUGGUUGUCGUCAGCUCGUGUCGUGAGAUGUUGGGUUAAGUCCCGCAACGAGCGCAACCCUUAAGCUUAGUUGCCAUCAUUAAGUUGGGCACUCUAAGUUGACUGCCGGUGACAAACCGGAGGAAGGUGGGGAUGACGUCAAAUCAUCAUGCCCCUUAUGAUUUGGGCUACACACGUGCUACAAUGGACAAUACAAAGGGCAGCGAAACCGCGAGGUCAAGCAAAUCCCAUAAAGUUGUUCUCAGUUCGGAUUGUAGUCUGNCACUCGACUACAUGAAGCUGGAAUCGCUAGUAAUCGUAGAUCAGCAUGCUACGGUGAAUACGUUCCCGGGUCU